rnacentral:rRNA from 1 species
UUGUCUUAUGAUUUUUAUUUAAGAUUUUGCCUGCCCAGUGAAUUUUUUUAACGGCCGCAGUACUCUGACUGUGCUAAGGUAGCAUAAUAAAUUGGCUUUUAAUUGGAGUCGGGAAUGAAAGGGAGAAUGAGGUUAAGCUGUCUUAAAAAAAUAUAUUUUAAUUUACUUAUCAGGUGAAAAUUCCUGAAUACUUAAUAUUAGACGAGAAGACCCUAAGAAUUAUAAUUCAAAAUAAUUAAUAUUAUUUAUCUUUUUGUUGGGGCAACAGAAUUGGAUUAAGGUAAACCAAUUUUAAUAAGGUUAUUUUGACCAUAAUUUUAAGAAAAAUUUUAAUUACCUUAGGGAUAACAGCAUAAUUUAUUUUUUAGAUUGUGACCUCGAUGUUGGACUAGGGACUAUUUGUAAUUAGCCAUUAAAAUAGAUUGUUCUGUUCGAACAUUUUUACCCU